GACGAACGCUGGCGGCGUGCUUAACACAUGCAAGUCGAACGGGAGUAUCGAAGAAGCUUGCUUUAGAGAUACUUUAGUGGCGGACGGGUGAGUAACGCGUGAGGAGCUGUCCUAUGCAGGGGGACAACAGUUGGAAACGACUGCUAAUACCCCAUAAGCCGAGAGGUAAAAGGAUUUAUCCGGCAGAGGAGGUACCCGCGUCCUAUCAGCUAGUAGGUGAGGUAACGGCUCACCUAGGCGAAGACGGGUAGCCGGCCUGAGAGGGCGAACGGCCACACUGGAACUGAGAUACGGUCCAGACUCCUACGGGAGGCAGCAGUGGGGAAUAUUGGGCAAUGGGGGGAACCCUGACCCAGCGACGCCGCGCGGGUGAAGAAAUCCUUCGGGAUGUAAAGCCCUGUUGUAUGGGAAGAGCGGAAGACGGUACCAUACGAGGAAGCCCCGGCAAACUACGUGCCAGCCGCCGCAGUAA
rnacentral:rRNA from 1 species